rnacentral:misc_RNA from 1 species
GAUCCUCGCUGCCACUAGAGAAUGCAGCGGCUUUUAGCCGCCGGAUUCUUGCGCGGCAAAGUCGGGCGUGUUGUUUGAGAACUCAAUAGUGUGUUUGGUGGUUUUUGUUUGUUGUUUUUUGUCCGCCUCUUUUUCCCGUUUAGGGGUGGAUGUUUUUGAUGCCAGUUUUGGUGUCUUUUUGUUAGGUCAGAUUUUCUCUGAUUGUGAAUUCACCUGUCUUUGGAUGGGUUG